AAGUCGUAACAAGGUUUCCGUAGGUGAACCUGCGGAAGGAUCAUUACCACGUUUCCACGUAUCCACGCACGUGCAUCUGUUUUCGUUUCCUCUCCUGCUGUUUGCUUCCUUCACGGGUCGCUUGCGGCAGGUCCCCCCGGGUGCCUCUGUCUCGGUUUCGGCCGUGCGUUGCGCCCUUCCUCACCCCUUCCACCUCUUUUUUGCUAGUUGACUUUGAAAAAUGACACUGCCUGCGUUUGUUGCUUCGGCUGCUGCGCUUGCUGUGCCUCGUUUUCUCUAUUUAUUUAUUGAAACGUCAUUACAACUCUUAGCAAUGGGUAUCUAGGUUCUC
rnacentral:misc_RNA from 1 species